rnacentral:rRNA from 1 species
AUUAUAUGAAUAAGCACCGGCUAACUCCGUGCCAGCAGCCGCGGUAAUACGGGGGGGUGCAAGCGUUACUCGGAAUCACUGGGCGUAAAGAGCAUGUAGGCGGAUUAAUAAGUUUGAAGUGAAAUCCUAUAGCUUAACUAUAGAACUGCUUUGAAAACUGUUAAUCUAGAAUGUGGGAGAGGUAGAUGGAAUUUCUGGUGUAGGGGUAAAAUCCGUAGAGAUCAGAAGGAAUACCGAUUGCGAAGGCGAUCUACUGGAACAUUAUUGACGACUGAGAUGCGAAAGCGUGGGGAGCAAACAGGAUUAGAUACCCUGGUAGUCCACGCCCUAAACGAUGUACACUAAGUUGUUGUGAGACUUGAUCUUGCAGUAAUGCAGUUAACACAUUAAGUGUACCGCCUGGGGAGUACGGUCGCAAG